GCGGGAGUAGCUCAGUUGGUAGAGCGUCAGCCUUCCAAGCUGAGGGUCGCGAGUUCGAGUCUCGUCUCCCGCUCAA
rnacentral:tRNA from 8 species